UUUUAUGGAGAGUUUGAUCCUGGCUCAGGAUGAACGCUGGCGGCGUGCCUAAUACAUGCAAGUCGAGCGAACGGACGAGAAGCUUGCUUCUCUGAUGUUAGCGGCGGACGGGUGAGUAACACGUGGAUAACCUACCUAUAAGACUGGGAUAACUUCGGGAAACCGGAGCUAAUACCGGGUAAUAUUUUGAAACGCAUGGUUCAAAAGUGAAAGACGGUCUUGCUGUCACUUAUAGAUGGAUCCGCGCUGCAAUAGCUAGUUGGUAAGGUAACGGCUUACCCAGGC
rnacentral:rRNA from 1 species